rnacentral:rRNA from 1 species
AACAGGAUUAGAUACCCUGGUAGUCCACGCCGUAAACGAUGUCGACUUGGAGGUUGUUCCCUUGAGGAGUGGCUUCCGGAGCUAACGCGUUAAGUCGACCGCCUGGGGAGUACGGCCGCAAGGUUAAAACUCAAAUGAAUUGACGGGGGCCCGCACAAGCGGUGGAGCAUGUGGUUUAAUUCGAUGCAACGCGAAGAACCUUACCUACUCUUGGCAUCCACGGAAUUUGGCAGAGAUGCCUUAGUGCCUUCGGGAACCGUGAGACAGGUGCUGCAUGGCUGUCGUCAGCUCGUGUUGUGAAAUGUUGGGUUAAGUCCCGCAACGAGCGCAACCCUUAUCCUUUGUUGCCAGCGAUUCGGUCGGGAACUCAAAGGAGACUGCCGGUGAUAAACCGGAGGAAGGUGGGGAUGACGUCAAGUCAUCAUGGCCCUUACGAGUAGGGCUACACACGUGCUACAAUGGCGCAUACAAAGAGAAGCGACCUCGCGAGAGCAAGCGGACCUCACAAAGUGCGUCGUAGUCCGGAUCGGAGUCUGCAACUCGACUCCGUGAAGUCGGAAUCGCUAGUAAUCGUGGAUCAGAAUGCCACGGUGAAUACGUUCCCGGGCCUUGUACACACCGCCCGUCACACCAUGGGAGUGGGUUGCAAAAGAAGUAGGUAGCUUAACCUUCGGGAGGGCGCUUACCACUUUGUGAUUCAUGACUGGGGUGAAGUCGUAACAAGGUAACC